GUUUGCCUUUGAAAUGUUUUCUUUUUCGCCUAAGGAUAGAUCUGCGACUGAUUAGGUCGUUGGUGGGGUAAUGGCCCACCAAGCCGAUGAUCGGUACGGGUUGUGAGAGCAAGAGCCCGGAGAUGGAACCUGAGACAAGGUUCCAGACCCUACGGGGUGCAGCAGGCGCGAAACCUCCGCAAUGUACGAAAGUGCGACGGGGGGAUCCCAAGUGUUAUGCUUUUUUUGUAUAACUUUUCAUUAGUGUAAAAAGCUUUUAGAAUAAGAGCUGGGCAAGACCGGUGCCAGCCGCCGCGGUAACACCGGCAGCUCGAGUGGUAGCUGUUUUUAUUGGGCCUAAAGCGUUCGUAGCCGGUUUGAUAAGUCUUUGGUGAAAGCUUGUAGCUUAACUAUAAGAAUUGCUGGAGAUACUAUUAGACUUGAAGUCGGGAGAGGUUAGAGGUACUACCGGGGUAGGGGUGAAAUCCUAUAAUCCUGGGAGGACCACCUGUGGCGAAGGCGUCUAACUGGAACGAUCUUGACGGUGAGUAACGAAAGCCAGGGGCGCGAACCGGAUUAGAUACCCGGGUAGUCCUGGCCGUAAACGAUGUGGACUUGGUGUUGGAAUGGCUUUGGGUUGUUCCAGUGCCGAAGGGAAGCUGUUAAGUCCACCGCCUGGGAAGUACGGUCGCAAGACUGAAACUUAA
rnacentral:rRNA from 1 species